CUCCGCCCGCGGCCGGCGAGGGCGCCCGGAGAGUUAGCAAGGAGAGGGACAGGAAGGCGGGUGAUGGGCUGGGGCGAGGGUGCGGGGGCUCCGAUCCACCGUCCUCCCCUCCCCUCCAGGCAGAUCUGGAUCGCCGGCGCCUGGGCUUAGGGAACUGGGGCUUGGAGCCCGCGGUCCACGGGCGCAGGGGCGGGGCGGGCGGGGGCUGCUGAAGAAGAUCCCUCCCCACCACCGGAGAGCCCCUAUUGCGCCAAGCGCAGGGCCGGAGUUAAGAUGAGUCCAGCGAAGUGCCUAGAGUACCAAAUUCAUGGAGACGUUUCCUCUUUGGGGAACACACGCCAACCCCAGAGACAGCUUUGGUCUGAAUCGUGCAGGUUCCGGGAAGACACGGUGACCAGCUGAAUCGUGUGGUCUCGCUGCAGUCUAGUCAUCAGAUAAACAUCAGACAAAUCCCAAUGAAGAAAAUUCUACAAAACAUCUGACUAGUUCUCCUCAAAGGUCAUCAAAACAAGGAAAGUCUGAGAAAUUGUCACAAACGAUAGGAACCUAAAAAGACAUAACGACUCAAUGUAGUGUGGUACCCUUGAUAGAAUACUGGAACAGGAAAAGGAAAUUUUGCAAAAACUAUGGAAAUAUAAAUAAAGUAUGGACUUUAGCUAAUAACAGUGUAUCAGUGUUGGUUAAUUGUAACAAAUAUACUCAUGUAAGAUGUUAACAGUAGGGGAAAGUGGGUUUGGGGUUGAUGUCCUUCGGAUGUUUGUCUCCUCCAAAUCUCAUGUUGAAAUUUGAUCCCCAGUGGCAGACUUGGGGCCUGGUGGGAGAUGUUUGAAUCAUGGGGGUGGAUCCCUCAUGAAUGGCUCUGUGCUGUCCCCACGGUAAUAAGUGAGUUCUCACUCUAUUCGUUCACUAGAGAACUGAUUGUUAAAACAAGAGCCUGGCACUUUCCUCCCCUCUCCCUCUUGCUCCCUCUCUUGCCAUGUGAUGUCUGCUCCCCUUCUCUUUCUGCCAUGAUUGGAAGCUUCCUGAAGUCCUCACCAGAAUCAGG
rnacentral:lncRNA from 1 species